rnacentral:rRNA from 1 species
GAACGCGAAAGUCCCGCAAGGGAUCAGUAGAGUGGCGAACGGGUGAGUAACGCGUGGGUGACCUGCCUUCGAGCGGGGGAUAACGUUCCGAAAGGGACGCUAAUACCGCAUGACAUCCCGUCCUUGAACGGACGGCGAUCAAAGCUGGGGAUCGCAAGACCUAGCACUCGAAGAGGGGCCCGCGUCCGAUUAGCUAGUUGGUGGGGUAAGAGCCUACCAAGGCGACGAUCGGUAGCUGGUCUGAGAGGACGAUCAGCCACACUGGGAUUGAGAACGGCCCAGACUCCUACGGGGGGCAGCAGUGAGGAAUUUUCGGCAAUGGGGGCAACCCUGACCGAGCAACGCCGCGUGCAGGAAGAAGGUCUUCGGAUCGUAAACUGCUUUUCUCGGGGAAGAGAGAGGACGGUACCCGAGGAAUCAGCCCCGGCUAACUACGUG